rnacentral:rRNA from 1 species
UACGGAGGAUCCGAGCGUUAUCCGGAUUUAUUGGGUUUAAAGGGUGCGUAGGCGGCCUUGUAAGUCAGGGGUGAAAGACGGCAGCUCAACUGUCGCAGUGCCUUUGAUACUGCAGGGCUUGAAUACACUUGAAGUAGGCGGAAUGUGACAAGUAGCGGUGAAAUGCAUAGAUAUGUCACAGAACACCGAUUGCGAAGGCAGCUUACUAAAGUGUGAUUGACGCUGAGGCACGAAAGCGUGGGGAU